rnacentral:RNase_P_RNA from 1 species
AGAGUGAGCCGGGCGAUCGCCGGAGGCGCUUGCGCCGCCGGAGGAAAGUCCGAACUGGACAGGGCACGGUGAUGGCUAACGGCCACCGGGGGCGACCCCAGGGAAAGUGCCACAGAAAACACACCGCCGACCGAAGGCGUGAAAACGGGAAAAAGUGAAACCACGUGCGCUUCUCUUCGAAGGCGCCCCGUUUCACCUUGAUGUCUUUUCACCUUUUCACGUCUUCGGUGGGUAAGGGUGAAAAGGUGCGGUAAGAGCGCACCGCGCGGCCGGCGACGGUCGCGGCAGGGUAAACCCCACCGCCAGCAAGCCCAAAUAUGGGGCGAUGAGCCGGCCCGGCUCGUUACCAGCCUCGGGUAGGGCGCUUGAGGCCGUCGGCAACGACGGCCCCAGAGGAAUGAUCGCUGCCCGCGCAUCGCGCGGGAACAGAAUUCGGCUUACAGGUUCACUCUGCAU